AUUUUACUCCCUCCGUUCGGAAUUACUUGUCUCGAAAAUGAAUGUAUCUAGAACUAGAAUACGUCUAGAUACAUUUUUUUCUGCGACAAGUAAUUCCGAACAGAGGGAGUAGGUC
rfam:Triticum aestivum genome assembly, contig: Triticum_aestivum_CS42_TGACv1_scaffold_516157_6BS